rnacentral:tRNA from 1 species
GGUGGCGUAGCUCAACGGGAGAGAGCAGAGAGCACUCUUCAUGCAGAAGCGUGAAGGUGCCCUCCGGUCGGUGGUUCGAGUCCACCCGUCACCUGA